rnacentral:rRNA from 1 species
CACGUAGGGCGCAAGCGUUGUCCGGAAUUAUUGGGCGUAAAGAGCUCGUAGGCGGUCUGUUGCGUCCGCUGUGAAAACUCGGGGCUUAACCCCGAGCCUGCAGUGGAUACGGGCAGACUAGAGGUAGGUAGGGGAGAAUGGAAUUCCCGGUGUAGAGGUGAAAUGCGCAGAUAUCGGGAGGAACACCGGUGGCGAAGGCGGUUCUCUGGGCCUUACCUGACGCUGAGGAGCGAAAGCGUGGGGAGCGAACAGG